ACGCAACUCUGGAGAGAGCUCAAGGUAUUAAGCGAGCCACCAAAGGGGAAAGGCCGUAAUAUCGCCGUAAACUCUCAGGUGAAAGGACAGAGAA
rnacentral:ncRNA from 1 species